rnacentral:rRNA from 1 species
GAUGAACGCUGGCGGCGUGCCUAAUACAUGCAAGUCGAGCGAACGGACGAGAAGCUUGCUUUUCUGAUGUUAGCGGCGGACGGGUGAGUAACACGUGGAUAACCUACCUAUAAGACUGGGAUAACUUCGGGAAACCGGAGCUAAUACCGGAUAAUAUUUUGAACCGCAUGGUUCAAAAGUGAAAGACGGUCUUGCUGUCACUUAUAGAUGGAUCCGCGCUGCAUUAGCUAGUUGGUAAGGUAACGGCUUACCAAGGCAACGAUGCAUAGCCGACCUGAGAGGGUGAUCGGCCACACUGGAACUGAGACACGGUCCAGACUCCUACGGGAGGCAGCAGUAGGGAAUCUUCCGCAAUGGGCGAAAGCCUGACGGAGCAACGCCGCGUGAGUGAUGAAGGUCUUCGGAUCGUAAAACUCUGUUAUUAGGGAAGAACAUAUGUGUAAGUAACUGUGCACAUCUUGACGGUACCUAAUCAGAAAGCCACGGCUAACUACGUGCCAGCAGCCGCGGUAAUACGUAGGUGGCAAGCGUUAUCCGGAAUUAUUGGGCGUAAAGCGCGCGUAGGCGGUUUUUUAAGUCUGAUGUGAAAGCCCACGGCUCAACCGUGGAGGGUCAUUGGAAACUGGAAAACUUGAGUGCAGAAGAGGAAAGUGGAAUUCCAUGUGUAGCGAUGAAAUGCGCAGAGAUAUGGAGGAACACCAGUGGCGAAGGCGACUUUCUGGUCUGUAACUGACGCUGAUGUGCGAAAGCGUGGGGAUCAAACAGGAUUAGAUACCCUGGUAGUCCACGCCGUAAACGAUGAGUGCUAAGUGUUAGGGGGUUUCCGCCCCUUAGUGCUGCAGCUAACGCAUUAAGCACUCCGCCUGGGGAGUACGACCGCAAGGUUGAAACUCAAAGGAAUUGACGGGGACCCGCACAAGCGGUGGAGCAUGUGGUUUAAUUCGAAGCAACGCGAAGAACCUUACCAAAUCUUGACAUCCUUUGACAACUCUAGAGAUAGAGCCUUCCCCUUCGGGGGACAAAGUGACAGGUGGUGCAUGGUUGUCGUCAGCUCGUGUCGUGAGAUGUUGGGUUAAGUCCCGCAACGAGCGCAACCCUUAAGCUUAGUUGCCAUCAUUAAGUUGGGCACUCUAAGUUGACUGCCGGUGACAAACCGGAGGAAGGUGGGGAUGACGUCAAAUCAUCAUGCCCCUUAUGAUUUGGGCUACACACGUGCUACAAUGGACAAUACAAAGGGCAGCGAAACCGCGAGGUCAAGCAAAUCCCAUAAAGUUGUUCUCAGUUCGGAUUGUAGUCUGCAACUCGACUACAUGAAGCUGGAAUCGCUAGUAAUCGUAGAUCAGCAUGCUACGGUGAAUACGUUCCCGGGUCU